rnacentral:rRNA from 1 species
GAUGAACGCUGGCGGCGUGCCUAAUACAUGCCAGUCGAGCGAACGGACGAGAAGCUUGCUUCUCUGAUGUUAGCGGCGGACGGGUGAGUAACACGUGGAUAACCUACCUAUAAGACUGGGAUAACUUCGGGAAACCGUAGCUAAUACCGGAUAAUAUUUUGAACCGCAUGGUUCAAAAGUGAAAGACGGUCUUGCUGUCACUUAUAGAUGGAUCCGCGCUGCAUUAGCUAGUUGGUAAGGUAACGGCUUACCAAGGCAACGAUGCAUAGCCGACCUGAGAGGGUGAUCGGCCACACUGGAACUGAGACACGGUCCAGACUCCUACGGGAGGCAGCAGUAGGGAAUCUUCCGCAAUGGGCGAAAGCCUGACGGAGCAACGCCGCGUGAGUGAUGAAGGUCUUCGGAUCGUAAAACUCUGUUAUUGGGGAAGAACAUAUGUGUAAGUAACUGUGCACAUCUUGACGGUACCUAAUCAGAAAGCCACGGCUAACUACGUG